rnacentral:rRNA from 1 species
CCUACGGGUGGCAGCAGUGGGGAAUAUUGCGCAAUGGGCGAAAGCCUGACGCAGCGACGCCGCGUGAGGGAUGAAGGUCUUCGGAUCGUAAACCUCUGUCAGCAGGGAAGAACGGUCACUGUGCUAAUCAACAGUGAAUUGACGGUACCUGCAAAGGAAGCACCGGCUAACUCCGUGCCAGCAGCCGCGGUAAUACGGAGGGUGCGAGCGUUAAUCGGAAUUACUGGGCGUAAAGCGCUCGUAGGCGGUAUGUCAAGUCAAGUGUGAAAGCCCCGCGCUCAACGUGGGAACUGCCUUUGAAACUGGCAAACUGGAGUGUGUGAGAGGAUAGUGGAAUUCCAGGUGGAGGAGUGAAAUCCGUAGAUAUCUGGAGGAACAUCAGUGGCGAAGGCGACUAUCUGGCACAUAACUGACGCUGAGGAGCGAAAGCGUGGGUAGCAAACAGGAUUAGAUACCCGAGUAGUC